CAGGCAGGUCCUUCAAGAGGUAUUCAAGAAGAAAGCAUCGCUAUCAUAGGAGAUGACAGCUCCACCGGUGUUAUUGCCCUUGAAGACCUUUCAGUGGAACAAACUGUGGAGGUGGAAGACUGUGAUACUGAUGAUCCUGACCUCCUGAGAUCGCCCAAUGGGCUCAUAAACAAAAUGGCCAUGGUGGCAGAAACAGAGGUUAUGCAUGGGCUCAGCAACAUGGACUUCCACUCACCAGCUGACCUGACUAAAGGCACUGCCGAGUACCCAAUCUGCCAGCAGCAGAGACUAACAAUGAGUCCCUGAUGUGGCACCAUUCCCCAGGGUGAUCAGGAAGCUACCCGGUGGCAGGUUAAUUACAGUGAGCUGCUUCCAUUAAGGAAGGGGUUAUAUUUUGUUCUCACUGGAACAGACACUCUAUCUAGAUAUGGAUUUGCUUUCCCUGCAUGCAGUGAUUCUACUAAAACCACCAUCUGUGGACUUACAGAUUCACCUUAUCUACUGUCAUAGUAUUCCACACACCGUUGCUUCUGACCAAAGAACUCACUUCACAGCAAAGAAGUAUAGCAAUGGGCCCAUGCUCACGGAAUUCACUGGCCUUACUAUGUUCCCUACCAUCCAGAACCAGGUGGAUUGAUCGAACAAUGGAAUAGCCCUUUGAAGACUUAGUUAUAGCACCAGCUAGGUGGCAAUACCUUGCAGGGCUGGGGAAGGUUCUUCAGAAGUCCGUACAUGCUCUUAAUCAGUAUCCAAUACAUGGCAUGGUUUCUCUGAUAGCCAGGAUUCAAGGGCCCAGGAAUCAAGGGAUGGAAAUGAGAAUGGUACACUAUUACCCCUAGUAAUACCACUAGCAAAAUUUUGGCUUCCUGUUCCCAUGACUUUAUGCUUUACUAGCCUAGAGGUCUUAGUUCCAGAGGGAAGAAUGCUUUCACCAAGAGACAUAAUGAUUCCACUUAACUGCAAGUUGACUGCUACCUGGCCACUUUCGGCUCCUUGUGCCACUGAAUCGAUGGCAAAGAAGGGAGUUAUGAGGCUAGCUUGGGGUGACUGAUCCUUCCUGCCAAGGGGAAACUGAACUACUACUCUACAUGAAGGAUAGUCAAGCGUCUACCAAAGUGCCUGUCCUAUCUCUGGAAGAAGUCUGCAUUUUGUGAUAAAAGUAGAAAACUCAAUCAACCUGUCAUCAGUUACGUAACUUAAAAGUUUCUCCAAAAGAAUCCUUUUCUACUUGGGAAGCACAAACAGCCAAAAGCAGCACUGGGGUUUUGACUGUCAAGGAGAUUAUUUGGACAUUAUGAAAAGGCAAAGAGAGAAACACUUCUGUAACUAUAACAAGACUAAAAAAGAAAAGCAAGAUGCAUUUUUAGAAGAAAUAAGUGGAUGACUCCUUGGACUGCAAGUGAGACUCAGCACAGGCUCAACAAGGAAAGAUGGUUGCUAAAUUACGAAUAAAAAGAGAGAGAUUUGUGGUUGCUUCAGAGAGAAAGUGGGAAGAACAGAAAGAAAAGGGGCAAAAGAAAAAAGCCCACAAGUCUGGGCCCUUCAUGGCGGACAGGCCAGUGAGCGGAAAUCGAGGUGGCAAACACACACGUCAGCGAGGGGAGCUAGAGGAUGAGGAAAACAACUGACAUUUAAAUAACGAACAUAAUAAGUAAUUUCAAUGUCCAGGUGAGUGAACCACAGAAUUACCUGUGUUUUGUCAAUCUGGUCAGAGCUAAGUUUCUAUAGUGAGUAACCACGAUAAUAAAUGCUCUCUCCUAUCCCUGAGCUGUCUAUUUAGAAAGAAUGCUUCA
rnacentral:lncRNA from 1 species